GAUGAACGCUGGCGGCGUGCCUAACACAUGCAAGUCGAGCGAUUCUCUUCGGAGAAGAGCGGCGGACGGGUGAGUAACGCGUGGGUAACCUGCCCUGUACACACGGAUAACAUACCGAAAGGUAUGCUAAUACGAGAUAAUAUACUUUUAUCGCAUGGUAGAAGUAUCAAAGUUUUUGCGGUACAGGAUGGACCCGCGUCUGAUUAGCUAGUUGGUAAGGUAACGGCUUACCAAGGCGACGAUCAGUAGCCGACCUGAGAGGGUGAUCGGCCACAUUGGAACUGAGACACGGUCCAAACUCCUACGGGAGGCAGCAGUGGGGAAUAUUGCACAAUGGGCGAAAGCCUGAUGCAGCAACGCCGCGUGAGCGAUGAAGGCCUUCGGGACGUAAGCUCUGUCCUCAAGGAAGAUAAUGACGGUACUUGAGGAGGAAGCCCCGGCUAACUACGUGCCAGCCGCCGCCGUAA
rnacentral:rRNA from 1 species